rnacentral:rRNA from 1 species
AUGGAACGUUGGCGGCGUGCCUAAUACAUGCAAGUCGAACGAAGACUGUAGUAAUACUGUCUUAGUGGCGAACGGGUGAGUAACGCGUGGGUGACCUGCCCCGAAGUGUGGGAUAACAGUUCGAAAGAACUGCUAAUACCGCAUAACAUCCAAGAGAUUAGAAGCUUUUGGAUUAAAGGAGUAAUUCGCUUCGGGAGGGGCCCGCGUCCCAUCAGCUAGUUGGUAAGGUAAUGGCUUACCAAGGCGAUGACGGGUAGGGGACCUGAGAGGGUGGCCCCCCACAAUGGAACUGAAACACGGUCCAUACACCUACGGGUGGCAGCAGUAGGGAAUAUUAGUAAUGGGCGAAAGCCUGAACUAGCAACGCCGCGUGUGCGAAGAAGGCCUUCGGGUUGUAAAGCACUUUUUGAGAGGAUGAGGAAGGACGGUACUCUCAGAAUAAGUCUCGGCUAACUACGUG